UACAGAGGUGGCAAGCGUUGUUCGGAAUCACUGGGCGUAAAGGGCGUGUAGGCGGCUGAAUAAGUGGGGUGUUAAAUCUCCCGGCUCAACCGGGAAACUGCACUUCAUACUGUUCAGCUUGGGUACAGCAGAGGAGACUGGAAUUCCCGGUGUAGUGGUGAAAUGCGUAGAGAUCGGCAGGAACACCCAGGGGGAAACCAGUCGACUGGGCAUCUACUGACGCUGAGGUGCGAGAGCGUGGGGAGCGAACCGG
rnacentral:rRNA from 1 species